AAGAGCGUCACUGAAGUUCUCAGCCGUAAAGCAAACGAUCUUAAUAUUAAAAAUAAAUUUAAUCAGACACCUCUUCAUUUGGCAUCUAUGCAUGGGCACGGAGGUGUCGCUGAUGUGCUUCUCAAGAAUGGAGCUAACGCUGAUAUUGGAGAUGAUUCGAAGAAUACACCUCUUCAUUAUGCUGCUACACAUGGUCACAAAAAUGUUGCUGAACUUCUCAUCAAAAAAGGAGCCAAAGUUGAUGUUAGAAAUCUUGCGAAUCUGACACCACGUCAGUUAGCUGUUAGCCAUGGU